UAUUAUGGCAGCCUGAACUGACUUACAACACACUAUCCAAAUUCGUGAGCCUCAGUUUCCUCAUUUACAAAAUUGAUCAUGAUACCCAACUCACAGUGUUGUUAUAAGGUUAAACAAAACCAUGUAUGUGAUCUGUGCCUGCAUGUAACAGACUUGCAAUCAAUAUUUUUUUGUAAUAAAUUGUUCCCUUGUCACUUUCCUUAUGUUUAGGGCAAGAGUCUUGAACAAGCUCUUUGAACUAUUGGCCAAAUUUCAGGGUUUAAAAAACAUUUCUGGUUUUUGUCGCCUCAGGAAGAGACAGCAUCUGUUCUGCAGAGCCUACUCUCUAGUCUGACAGCUUUGACUUUUAGAUGAUCUCCCUCAGUAGUCCUUCAUUGAAAAUAAGAAAAGUCAUUCAUUUGAAGAGCUUACAAAGAGCUACGAUGCUAUAGCUCCAGACUGAAAAAUGGUGGGAUUUUGCCAUCAUAUUGAUUCCUGCGAUCUUGGAUUUAUAACCAGUUACUAGUUAGUGAUGCCUCUGGAUGAACACAUGAAGAAAGUGAGGCCCAGGGAAGCCAACAGAUUUGCCAGGAGGCAGAGCUGGAGUGAGCUCCCAGACCUUGGGAUCCUAGGCUGUCCGUUCCUCCUUCUGUGUUUCCCUGAAGCAGUGGCUGCUUCAGGCUAUUGUCUUGCCCAGGGACUGUGGAGUUGGUGGUUUCCUUCUGAGAGCAAGAAGAAAUCUAUUGCUCCUGAUUCUUCCAGUGUGGAGCUUGGAGACAGCCAGUCCUGGGGAAUCCCAGCUCUGCUGCCCACCAGCCAAGGGACCCGCAGCCUUAAGUCUUCAUAUGCAAAAUAGGGUGAAAUGUCCACCUUGCUGGGUUGCUGGGAGAAUGAAAUGACAUAAUGAACUUUGGGAGCCUGGUGACAAGGUGCUUGGCUAUAGUGCCUGGUGGGCCUGGGUUGGAAUCCAGUUCUCCCAACUCCAAUCUGCAAGUAUUUGUUCAGGCCACUUCUGCCUCAGAGUCUGUUUCCUCAACUGCAUAAUGAAAAUAAUAAGACCUACCUUGAAGAGUUACUGUGAGAAAGAAAAAAAUCCUGCAAGGAUGGCACCUGGUCCACAGCAGCCAUUGAACAAAUGACAGCAAUUAUGAUAGUGUCUGGGUCGAAGAAGGUACACAAUUUGUAACUACAAUAAUCACUAUUUUUAUAAGCUCAACAUUGUCCUGGAAACUGUGGGAAAUCCAGAAAUAAUCUAAGAAACAGAUGGGCAGACCCAUCUGGAAGCUAAGAGCCUGCUUGGUAACACAAAACCUGCAUAGUGCCCCAUAUCAAUGUGCAGUUGCAUUCUACACUGUGGACAAGAGGCCAAGAAUGUUCUAGUGCAUCAGAGACAGAGGCCAACGGUGGCUGGACUAAUUGGCAAAGGCAUCACAAAGGAGGGAAAAGUAGAAAUCUGCACUCUUGUCUCGACUUUGCCUUGCCUGCAGAACUCAACAUUUGCGAAUGAUGUGUCCUUGAGAAGUCAUGUUUUACCCAGUUUUGCAAACUUUUGGCUCAUAUCAUAAAUUCAAAGAUGCUGGUGCUCCCAGUCUUAGUGCUAACAUUUCUAUUUAUACCCCUUUCCCUGAGCCCCAAGAAAUGUUCUUUAAACAUAUUCUCAGCUGGACCAGAAGAGAUUUGGUUUGUGUGUUUGUUUUUAAUGGGCCCUGCAUUGACUUGGAUAAUGCUGUUGAAAACACAGUAAGAUGGAUUAAGUGCUGGAUAAUUCUCCUUCUAGCACCAAUACUCCCUAAUAACUUUUUGAUACAUACAAACAAAAACAUCCUCUUUAAUCUGCAAAUUCCUCUUUGGAUGGGCUGAAGGGUAAGGUUAUCUGGAAAAAAUGAGUAACUUCGGCAGAGAGAAUCCUGUGUCAGUCACCAGAGGAGAAGAGAGAAAGCUGCUUGUCUCUUGCAGACCUGUGCUGGCCAA
rnacentral:lncRNA from 1 species